UUUUGUAACUUUUAAUACUUAAAUUAAAAGUAAUUAGCUUUCUUGGUUUUCUGUUUCUUCCUUUAGCUUUAACAAACAAAUCUCUCCUAUUCAGAGGGCACUGUGCAAGUUAGUCAGGAGCGUGCUGUACUGUAGGAAGAGAGAGAACUUAACGGGAGAUUUAGAAAGGAAUCGCAGUCUUCCAGUAUUACAAGUAAUGGGGUCUUCAACAUGAUUUCUACUCUCCAAGGCACCCAAGUUUCAAGGCAGUGAAAAAUAAGAAAAAAACAUCAUCCCAGGGUACCCAAGCACAUAACCAGAGAACACAAGCUCCCCGUUUGAGCACUCAAAGCUCAUCCAAGUACCUUCCUAGAGCAAAGCACUCAAGCAUCUCCCCAGAGAAAGCAAGCAGCUUUACGGAUCACACAAAGCACUCAGUGGAGCACUCAUGUAUCAGUCCAGGGCACCCCAGCACCUCCAGGGAAAAGAAGGCACCACCCUGGAGCACCCAAGCAGCUCCCUGCAGCACCUGACUCUCUGCCUGGACACACAUAAGUAUCUUCCUGGAGCACUCAAUCGUUAAGAACCAGGCUCCUGCCCUGGAGCACCCAAGCACCUCCAGGGGAACGCAAGCACCUCUUUGGGCACCUAAGCAUAUCCCCAGGAAAACCAAGCACCUCCUGAUGUACUCAGACACCUCCCCAGGGGUGCUUAGAUUCUUGCUGACUCACCAAGCAUCUCCCUGGAACACCCAAGGUCCACACUGGAGAAACCAAGAAUGGCCGUGGGGCCAACAAGCAACUCCAUGGAUGAGAGAAUCAGAGAAAUGUGGAGAUGCUUGAGUUCCCUGGGAAAUUCCUGCCUGCCUGAGUGAGAUGAUUGUGGCAUACAGGGAAUUGCUAGAGCCUGCGGCAACUAAGCACCUCCUCGGGGCACAAAAGCAUUGCUCAUAGCUAUCCCGGCAUCUCCAUAGGGCAUGCAAGAACAUCCUUGGAGCUCCCUAGCACCUCCCUACAGCCAUCGAGCACCUCCCAGGAGAAGACACACAUCUCCCUGGGAUGCCCAAGGAUCUUCCUGGGUCACCCACAAACCUCCGUGGACUCCUGGAGCCCCUUGGCCUGGCACACCGCAUGUCUCUGGGGCACUCAGGCAUCUCUUUGGAGCAACAAAGCAUAUCCAAACGGUAGACAAGCAUCUUCCUUGAGGAGCCAAGGACCUCCUUGGGGUAGCGUGGCAUUUCCACAGGGCACCCAAUCAUCUUCCCAAGGGAAACAAGCACCUCUCUUGAGGCAGCAAGCGUCUCUGCACAACAUUCAGAAAUCCCACUGCAGCAAUCAAGUAUCUCCCCAGGCAACAGAAGCAUCUCCGUCGGGACAUACAAGCACAUUCCUGCAGAACCCAAACAUCUCCCCAGAGCAUCCACGCACCUUCCUGGAACACUCCAAUAACUUUUUGGGACACGUAAGAAUGUCACCGGGGGAUCCUAAAAUCUCCCACAGUGUCCCCAGCAUGUUUCUGGACCACCCAAGGAACAUUCUAAGGCACUUUGCGUGUCCCUGAAGGCCCCAGGAAUCUCCCUGCAGCACCCAAGCAUUACUGCUGGGCACCCAAGCAUGAAUAUUUUCAGGACCCAAGCAGUCCACAGAAGCAGAAAAGCAUUUCCAAGGGCACACAGGAAUCUCCUAUGAGCACAGAAUGGCCUGGGGCACAUAAUCGUCUCUCGGGAGCACCCAGGAAUUUCCCUCCAGCAAUGAAACACCUCUCUGGAGAAACCAUACAUCGCCCUGGGUCAGUCAAACAUCUCCCUGCGGAAUCCAAGCACCUUCCUGGAGGACCCAAGGAGCUUCUCGAGGUAUGCAUGCAUUUCCCCAUGGCCCCCAAGCACCACAAGUGGCACCUAAGCACCUCCCUAGAGGCUGCCACCACCUGCCUCUGGGUCACAAGCUCCUCCCAGGAGCACUCAAAUAUCUCACAGGGACACGCAAGCAUCUCCUGCAUGUCACAUACUCCAAGAUACUCCUGCAUCUGAUUGGAGAAUCCAGCCGUCUCCCCAGGGCUCCAAAAUACCACCUGGGGCACCCAAGUAUCUCAUUGGACAUGGGAAGCACCUCCCUUGGAACCCCAGAGCUUCUGUGGGGUGCAGGAGCCCCUCCCCGGGUCAUUCAAGUAUGUCCACAGGGCACCCAAGCAUAUCCCCAGGGGUCGUAAGCAUUUUCCUGGUGGACCCAUGCAUCUCCUAUUAGCACUCAAGCAUCUCGCUAUGGAUGCAAUGAAAAAUUCUCCCACACCACAAAAACAUCUCAUUGGAGAAGUUAGGAAUCUGCAUAGAGCACCGAAUCAUCUCCCUGCGGCACCCAAGUACAUCCUUCAAGGAUCUCUCCUGUUGCAUUCCAACACCUCUUUGCAUUACCCAAAAGCAUCACCCUUUAGAAAAGAAGCAUCCCCUUGGAGGACCCAAGCACCUCCCUGGGAAACAGUAGCAUCAACUGUGGGUGCCCAACUGUCUAAAAGGGACACCCAAGAACAUCCUUGUAGCACCCAAGCAUCUCCCUAAGGCAAACCAGCACGGGACAGCCAAACACCUCGCUGGGGAACGCAAUCACCUCCUUUGAAGACCAAGGAUCUCCCUGGUGAACCCAAGCAUUUUCCCAAGGCAUGCUGACAUCUCCUCAGGGCAUCCAAGCACCUUCCAGGAGCACAUAGUCUUCUCCUGGAGGCACACGAGAACAUGCCCAGAGCACCCAAGCAUAGAUUUGGAGCAAGAAAGCACAACACAGGGGCACCCAGGCAUGUCUCUGGAGCACGCAAGCAUCUCCUUUGUGCAAUGUAGCAUCUCCUCAAGGUACACAAGCACCUCCAGGGGCAUCCAGACAUCUUCCUGGGGACCCGCAGCACUUCCCUGUGGUCCACAAGCACCUCCCGGGGGGAAAAGCGAGCUUGUUUCCAGUAAACCAGUGCUUCUCAUCAGAGGAGACAUACAUCUCCCCGAAGCACCCAAACAUCGUUCUCUUUAUUCCUGUCAAUAACAAACUACAGCAGUGAGAAUCAAAAGCAAACUAGAAACACCUUUCUCCCUUACACACUCUUCUACCUCCUUCCCGCAAGCAGCACAGGAGAAUGGGGAAGGGGGGCCCGGGCCUCCUGCUCCACUGUGGGCUGCUCUCCACAGGCAGCAGCUCCACUCCAGAGUCUGCUUCUCUGGGGCCUCUCCAUGGACUGCAGCCUCCUUCAGGCCAGAUCCACCUGCUCCUCCAUGGGCUCCUCUGGCGGCGGGUCCUUUCUGGAGCCAUCUGCGGAUGGUUCUCGCUUGCCUUGCGGCAUCUCCUGGGCUCUUCUCACACAAGCUGCCCCUGCAGAACCCCCCUAUCAAAACCUUGCCACAUAAGACGUACAGAAGGACACCAAGGGACUGGUCUUGUAGUUCCAGUUUUAUUCAGAGAGAUCUUCCCCAGGGAAGCUCUGUGGCUCCCUGGCUGUUCAGGGCCAGCAGCGCAGUGCUGCCAACCUAGCCCAUCUUGAUGCGGGUUGCUGCUGUACUUGACGUUGCAGGAUCUCUAUGGUCCCAGCUGCCAGGUGACGGAUCGAUGGAUGGGUGUCAUAUUCCAAAUGCAUUUGGAGGUCUGUGACAGAAAGACACAGAGCAGAGAUGAAACCCGUUGACCUACAGAGACCAUCCAGCAUCACUCUGGACCAUGCCAACCCCAUCGUAUACUUCUAGGGCCAGCAGGAACAGGUCAAACUGGCAUGUCCCUUUGCCCCUGCAGCAUUUCCUUGGAGCAGGACGAGGCAUAGAGCUGCAGACUGCACGGGCUCUGCCCCCUGUCACUUGGUCCCAGUACCCCCAGCACUGCCCUCACUCACAGGUGAUGAUCAUCCGCAGCUUCUCUUUGUCUAGGUCCCCGGAAUGCAAUGCAGCAAACGCUAG